CAGAGGUGAGAUAGACUCCAGUCUCCCAUAGCGCUCCCAGGCUUAUUAGGAAGAGGAAAUUCCCGCCUACUAAAUUUUGGUCAGACGGGUUGCUCUUAAAACCCUGUCUCCUGAUAAGAUGUUAUCAAUGACAAUGGUGCCCGAAACUUCAUUAGCAAUUUUAAUUUUGCCUCAGUCCUGAGGUCCUGUGAUCUCGCCCUGCCUCCACUUGCCUUGUGAUAUUCUAUUACCCUGUUAAGUACUUGAUGUCUGUGACCCACACCUAUUCACACACUCCCUCCCCUUUUGAAAAUCCCUAAUAAAAACUUGCUGGUUUUUGCGGCUUGUGAGGCAUCACGGAUCCUACCAACAUGUGAUGUCUCCCCCGGAAGCCCAGCUUUAAAAUUUCUCUCUUUUGUACUCUGUCCCUUUAUUUCUCAAGCCAGCCGACACUUAAGAAAAUAGAAAAGAACCUACAUGAUUAUCGGACCAGUAACCCAAGAGCACCCACUCAGGGCCACGGCUCAGGCAGGAACCUGGGAUGCAAGGAUGGAUGGCACAUGGUCCUCCCUCCAGGAGAUCACAGUGUAGGGAAAUCAACGAGGACCCAUAGUGAGCCCCUCCAUCCCACGUACCCCCUCCUCUAUCCACUUGUGGGCACUGCAGCCUGGACUUCUGCAUCAGCAGCUGUGUGGAGGUCUGUUACCCUGAGAUCUGCAGCCAGGACAGGGGGCUGUGCCCAGGAACAAGGGAGACUGGCUGCUGACUGUCCUCUUACUGCUGGGCCUGUCCCUUCCAAUCAGCGCCCGGGGCUCUGAGCACAUUGCUUUGCUGGUGUCUGUGAGCAGCUGGAGAUGGUGGUGAACGGUCUGUUUGCAUUUCUUGGAAGAAGAUCUUUUAUUCUGCUGCUCAACCCAGGUCUCUGCCUUCCUUAGAGACUGAGGCCCAUCCUUCAGUUUCCCUGAUUCUGGAAGAGCAGGGGGGUUGAAUGGAGCAGGAGGUCAUGAUGGAGACUUGGGCCCCAGCAUCCCGCAGCAUUUGCAGCGCCUCCUUAUAUAGGGGGUCGUAAUCAU
rnacentral:lncRNA from 10 species